CCCGAGUACCAGAAGAGGCCAAUGAGCAGGGCCCCCCCUCCUGAGGACCAUAAACAGUGACCCAGGCACAGAGGGAGUGUAGUGAAUUCCUGUACUUUAAUGUUGCCCUGGCAUCCGUUUUGAAUAUAAUCUGGACUUUCUUACAUUAGAAGCAGGGCUCAGUCAACCUUGACACUGUUUCCAGCUCCCUGCUUCCUCCCAGUUCCUCUAUGUGCUCAAUCCAGAUAUCUACCUUAGACAGUCAUCUCCCGGUGACUGCCUCCCUGUGGGACAGCUACAUACAGCCCACUUGACUGGUCCCGCUGACCCCACAGCCCGCAUGGACUGUUGCAGAUAGGCCAGUGACCCUCUCUCAGCCAUAGCGUGACCCUGCUUGCUCUAAACUCACCAAUUAUUUUAUUUUAUUUUAUUUUAUUUUAUUUUAUUUUAUUUAUUUAUUUUUGAGAUGGAGUCUCGCUCUGUCACCCAGGCUGGAGUGCAGUGGCGCAAUCCUGGCUCACUGCAAGCUCCGCCUCCCGGGUUCAAGCCAUUCUCCUGCCUCAGCCUCCUGAGUAGCUGGGACUACAGGUGCGCACCACCACGCCCAGCUAAUUUUUGUAUUUUUAGUAGAGACGGGGUUUCACAAUGUUUUCCAGGAUGGUCUCAAUCUCUUGACCUCGUGAUCCACCCGCCUCGGCCUCCCAAAGUACAGGCGUGAGCCACCGGCACCUGGCCUAAACCCAAUUAUUACUCCCCUCAGGAAACCUGCCUGGGUGACGCCCUGGACCCCAUAAAGGCCUUGGUCCCACAGGUCCCCUCUCUCUCUCACUCUCUACCUGCUACUUGAACACCCUGCUGUCUCCGGGAUUCCUGUUGGCCCUCAUCGGCGCUGGCUUCUCUCAUGGAUCUGCACCUUGCUUGCCUCACUCUAGUCCCAGCCUGACCUCAGGAGAAGGAUUGAGGAACCUAGUCCUCCCGCAGGCAGGAGGGGUAGAGCACCUUGGAACCAAACUCAGGAGUUUCUGGCUGGCUCCAAACAGAAGAGCCACAGUAGAGACGGGGUUUCACCAUGUUCGCCAGGAUGGACUCGAUUUCCUGACCUCGUGAUCCACCCACCUCGGCCUCCCAAAGUGAUGGGAUUGCAGGCGUGAGCCACCGUGCCCAGCCAAGGUAAGAUUCUUAUAAACCUUUUAUAACCCUUUACAAUUUUUUUUAGAACAGAACAAUGUUCUUAAAAAAUUCUGCUGUGCUUUUUUUUUUUUUUUUUUUUUUGAGAUGGAGUCUGGCUCUGUUGCCUGGCCUGGAGUGUAGUGGCACGAUCUCAGCUCACUGCAACCUCCGCCUCCAGGGUUCAAGCGAUUCUCCUGCCUCAGCCUCCCGAAUAGCUGGAAUUACAGGCUCCUGCCACUACACCCAGCUAAUUUUUUGUAUUUUUAGUAGAGAUGGGGUUUCACCAUGUUGGCCAUGCUGGUCUUGAACUGCUGACCUCAUGAUUUGCCUGCCUCAGCCUCCCAAAGUGCUGGGAUUACAGGCAUGAGCCACGGUGCCUGGCCUCUGCUUUUGAUGGCAGCAGGGGGCCGUCUAAAGUGGCUGCUGCCAUCACACUGGCUGCAGUAGGGAGGCAUGGGCGGUGGUGGCAGGAGCAGCUGUGGGAGCAGCAGUGGCAGUAGUGGGACUCCUGUGCCCCAUGUCCCCUGUGCCCUGCAUCCCUGAGGCAGUCAGCUGCACCACCCCCAUCCUCUCAUGGCUGGGCAGAACCUGCUCCCAGACCCAGAGUCUCCACCGUGGUCACAAUCUUGCACGCCUGGCCAAGGGCACAGUUGGGGACUCUUGGGGCCAGCCCCAAGAGCAUUUGGUUUGUUUGUGUGGGGUUGACUGGGGCUACAGCACCACCUGCACCUUGCCCAUGACUGCUGCAGGGAAAAUGCAGACAGGAGGCAGGCAGGCACUCCCUGGAGCCUGUCCCUGGGAGCCCCCUAGAGUCCACUGCCCUGGGAGCCACUGUGAUGAGGCUGGGCUGAGUCACCCACUGACGGGGGAGCAGUGUAAUUGAGCAUGGAGGGGUGGGCAGAAAGGGGCCCUGAUAUGGAGCUGGGCCCAGGCCAGUGCCACACUCCAAGGAGCCAGUGAGAGCCAGGAGCAGACAGGGGCCUGGCAUUCCUGGGCGUGGCUGUGGCCACCCAAGUCACAGCUGUGGACCCAGGCCUCCCUGUGCUUUUGGGGGCUGGGAGCAGGUAGAAGCCCCACCCUCCCAAGGAGCAGCUGCAGCCACUCAGCUGCAGCUGUGGACCCAGGCCUCUCUGCACUUUUGGAGCCCUAGGAAGGCCACCCCCUUCCCCCUGCAGGCUCUGAGGUGUCUUAUCUCACUGCCUGAUCUCUGUCAACUCCUGGCAACUGCUCCGAUCUCAGAGCAAGGUUGGGGCCAAGCCUGGGCACUGUCGCAACCCAGCCAUGUGUGUGUACACUCAGGGCAGUGUUAACACGCCAGCCCCCUGCCACCUUAGCCCCCUCCUGACUUUGGGCACCAGCAAGCACCAGAGGGAGGCCAAGGGGGUGCUGAGGGCAGCUUGGCACUGGCCUCCAGGUGCCCUUUGGUAUGAACAGCCUGGACAUCAUGAACAGAGGCAGGAGACAGGCUCCUGGGCAGAAAGGAAAAGUUCCCCAGUGAAGCCUCACCUUGAAGCUGGCGAGGGCCUGUAGCUGGGGACUACACUGCUGGUCCCACAAACCAGAGUGGGAACUUGUGAUGCUUUUUCUGGGGCUGCACAUGGUUUCCCAUGGACCAACUGACAUGCGCUUCCUCCCCUCUGAGGCCCAUAAAAGCCCUGGACUCAGCCAGACUUGAGAAGAUGAUGGGACAACCAGCUGCAGAGAGGAGCUACCCUCUCUGCUGAGAGCUGAAGAGACAACAUGAUGACCAGCUGCAGAGAGGAGCUACCGUCUCUCCUGAGAGCUGAACACUCAUUGGGACACCCUGGCUACAGAAAGGAGCUACCUAUUUCAGGUCUCCUCUAAGCUGUUCUGUCACUCAAUAAAGCUUCUCUUCAUCUUGCUCACCCUUCGCUUGUCUGCAUACCUCAUUCUUCCUGGAUGCAGGACAAGAACUUGGGACCUGCCAAA
rnacentral:lncRNA from 1 species